AGUGAAGCGGGAUGAAGCUCAAAUUUAAAAUCUGGCUGGUUUACUAGUCCGAGUUGUAGUUUAAAGAAGCGUUUUCGGUGGCAGUCUCGGUAUAAAUCCUUUGGAAUAGGGUAUCAUAGAGGGUGAGAAUCCCGUCUUUGACUGAGAAUAUGCUACUAUGUGAUACGUUUUCAAAGAGUCGAGUUGUUUGGGAAUGCAGCUCAAAAUGGGUGGUAAAUUUCAUCUAAAGCUAAAUAUUGGCGAGAGACCGAUAGCGAACAAGUACCGUGAGGGAAAGAUGAAAAGAACUUUGAAAAGAGAGUUAAACAGUGCGUGAAAUUGUUGAAAGGGAAACGCUUGAAACCAGUCAUGCGGUUGGGAAAUCAGUCUCUGACGGGGGGGAAUAGGGGAGGUGUGGACCGUAAGGCCGCUCUUUCUUAUAUCUUUCUCGCCAGGGAUGCACUUUUUCUUCUGCAGGUCAACAUCAGUUUGCUUUGCCGGACAAAACUCUUGGGAAGGUGACAGCUUAGGCUGUGUUAUAGCCCUUGAGCGAUACGGUGGAGCGGACUGAGGUUUUCGCAGCAUGUGCUCUCGGGCAAGGCUGAUUGGGUGCUAUGAGAUCGUUCAGGGUACAAUACAUGUAUUUUGCCUUGUGUCUUUUUUAUACUCGCUCAACUCGGCUCUUCCAUGCUUAGGAUGUUGACAUAAUGGUUUUAAUCGACC
rnacentral:rRNA from 1 species